GACGAACGCUGGCGGCGUGCCUAAUACAUGCAAGUUGAGCGCUGAAGGUUGGUACUUGUACCGACUGGAUGAGCAGCGAACGGGUGAGUAACGCGUGGGGAAUCUGCCUUUGAGCGGGGGACAACAUUUGGAAACGAAUGCUAAUACCGCAUAAAAACUUUAAACACAAGUUUUAAGUUUGAAAGAUGCAAUCGCAUCACUCAAAGAUGAUCCCGCGUUGUAUUAGCUAGUUGGUGAGGUAAAGGCUCAUCAAGGCGAUGAUACAUAGCCGACCUGAGAGGGUGAUCGGCCACAUUGGGACUGAGACACGGCCCAAACGCCUACGGGAGGCAGCAGUAGGGAAUCUUCGGCAAUGGACGAAAGUCUGACCGAGCAACGCCGCGUGAGUGAAGAAGGUUUUCGGAUCGUAAAACUCUGUUGGUAGAGAAGAACGUUGGUGAGAGUGGAAAGCUCAUCAAGUGACGGUAACUACCCAGAAAGGGACGGCUAACUACGUG
rnacentral:rRNA from 1 species